GUCCGGUUCGCUCAGUCGGUAGAGCAUGAGACUCUUAAUCUCAGGGUCGUGGGUUUGAGCCCCACAUUGGGCG